rnacentral:misc_RNA from 1 species
CGGAUAACGUCGCGAGCGUAACGGGUUGCGGAUUGGAC